UACGGAGGAUGCGAGCGUUAUCCGGAUUUAUUGGGUUUAAAGGGUGCGUAGGCGGGUUAUCAAGUCAGCGGUAAAAUCGUGGAGCUCAACUCCAUCCAGCCGUUGAAACUGAUGAUCUUGAGUGGGCGAGAAGUAUGCGGAGUGCGUGGUGUAGCGGUGAAAUGCAUAGAUAUCACGCAGAACUCCGAUUGCGAAGGCAGCAUACCGGCGCCCGACUGACGCUGAAGCACGAAAGCGUGGGUAGCGAACAGG
rnacentral:rRNA from 1 species